CCUACGGGAGGCAGCAGUGGGGAAUAUUGGACAAUGGGCGAAAGCCUGAUCCAGCAAUGCCGCGUGAGUGAUGAAGGCCUUCGGGUCGUAAAGCUCUUUUACCAGGGAUGAUAAUGACAGUACCUGGAGAAUAAGCUCCGGCUAACUCCGUGCCAGCAGCCGCGGUAAUACGGAGGGAGCUAGCGUUGUUCGGAAUUACUGGGCGUAAAGAGUACGUAGGCGGUUAUUCAAGUCAGAGGUGAAAGCCCGGGGCUCAACCCCGGAACUGCCUUUGAAACUAGAUAACUAGAGUCUUGGAGAGGUUAGUGGAAUUCCGAGUGUAGAGGUGAAAUUCGUAGAUAUUCGGAAGAACACCAGUGGCGAAGGCGACUAACUGGACAAGUACUGACGCUGAGGUACGAAAGCGUGGGGAGCAAACAGGAUUAGAUACCCUGGUAGUCCACGCCGUAAACGAUGAUAACUAGUUGUUCGGUCACUUGGUGACUGAGUGACGCAGCUAACGCAUUAAGUUAUCCGCCUGGGGAGUACGGUCGCAAGAUUAAAACUCAAAGUAUAAGUACGACGNGNGAGAGCGACGACGACGACGACGGAGGAGGAG
rnacentral:rRNA from 1 species